rnacentral:rRNA from 1 species
UACGUAGGGCGCGAGCGUUGUCCGGAUUUAUUGGGCGUAAAGAGCGUGUAGGCGGCCAGGUAGGUCAGCUGUGAAAACUCGAGGCUCAACCUCGAGACGCCGGUUGAAACCAUCUGGCUAGAGUCCGGAAGAGGAGAGUGGAAUUCCUGGUGUAGCGGUGAAAUGCGCAGAUAUCAGGAAGAACACCCGUGGCUAAGGCGGCUCUCUGGGACGGUACUGACGCUGAGACGCGAAAGCGUGGGGAGCGAACAGG